UCUAUAUUGAUGAAUCUUUAUGAUAAAAAUUGUCUCCCACCUUCUAGGAUUGUGUCGGGACAAUUGGUUCCAUGGAUUCUUUGGUUGAUUUAGACAGCUCUCAAUAGCGUGGUGUUUAAUGUGAAAAUAAGUGGAGUAGAGGAGGUAUUGUUCAAAAACGUUUGAGCAGCAAGAGAGUGGUUGGGAGGAAAACUGAUGGAAACUCAUUUGACUAGAAGAAUAGAAAUCUUGAGACAAUUGUGCCUAGAUACUACCACGAUCAAAUCAGAUGCGGCCUGGCACAGAGAUUCACAACUUGCAUGUUUAGAUGGACUUUGAAAAAGCAUAGUUCUCAGCUCAAGUUCUCAACAAGCUUCCCAUAUUUCGUACGCCGUUAGUCACAGAGGGAUUGGCACUUUGUGAGGUGGUGGACAAGGCCAAGGAGCUGGGUCAACAACCUUCAAUGAGAAUCAGACUCUCAAUAAAUAAUCAGUUCGAUUAACACAAAUAGUGUAUCCUUGAAAUUGUAUGAUAUUGUGGUGGACAUUA
rnacentral:lncRNA from 1 species